UAGGGAAUUUUGCGCAAUGGGAGCAAUCCUGACGCAGCGACGCCGCGUGAGUGAAGAAGGCCUUCGGGUUGUAAAGCUCUGUCAUGAGGGACGAAUAACUGGAGUCUAAUAGGCUCACAGGAUGACGGUACCUCAGGAGGAAGCACCGGCUAACUCUGUGCCAGCAGCCGCGGUAAUACAGAGGGUGCAAGCGUUAUUCGGAAUCACUGGGCGUAAAGCGUGUGCAGGUGGAUUAUCAAGUCAGAUGUGAAAUCCCGGGGCUUAACCCCGGAACUGCAUUUGAAACUGAUAGUCUAGAGUCUGUGAGAGGUAGGCGGAAUUCCAGGUGUAGAGGUGAAAUUCGUAGAUAUCUGGAGGAACAUCGGAGGCGAAGGCGGCUUACUGGUACAGAACUGACACUCAGAUACGAGAGCGUGGGUAGCAAACAGG
rnacentral:rRNA from 1 species